rnacentral:misc_RNA from 1 species
AUGAUGAUCCCAAGCCUUCUGGCAAUCUUUUGGGAAGAACUGGUUCUGUACAGGCAAGCUGCUUGAGGCGCUCGUCCUUUUAUCCGGCUUAUCCCUUUUUUACCGUUUUGACCCCUUUUCUACCGUUUUGAUCCCUUUUCUACCGUUUUGUUUGUAUCUGCUGUGUAUCUGCUGUUUGAAUGAUCUGCCGGUUGUUUUGAUUUUAUUAUGCUGGUGAAGGUUGUUCUGGUAUGUUCCGGAGGGCUUGUAGCUCAGUUGGUUAGAGCGCGCGCUUGAUAAGCGUGAGGUCGGAGGUUCA